UGCGCACACCCGGGUGGUUCUGGCUACGGGUACCCGGACCUGCCCAACGACCGUUCUCCAUUCCCGACCUCCGCACCCUACCCGGUCCGCAGGGCACCUUCCUCCUCUCUCUCAGGCACGUCCUCGACCUCAGUUGCCACGUGCACAUGCUGGUGCCUUCCAGGCUGGAGUAUAGUGGCAUGAUCAUAGAUCACUGCAGCCUCAAACUCCUGGGCUCAAGCGAUCCUCCCACCUCAGCCUCCAUAUAGCUGGUGGGGACCAAGUUUCUAACACAUGAAUGUUGGGAGACACAUUCAGACCAUCGCAGUGGCCUUAUAAAAAGAGACACAAGAGCUUGCUCUCUGCCAUGUGAGAAUACCACAAGAAGACUGUCCUCAGCAAAUCAGAAAGCGGGUGGACCCUCAUCAGACACCAGAUGUGCCUGCACCUUGAUCUUGGACUUGCCAGCCUUCAGAACAGUAAGAAAGAAAUGUGUGUUGUUUAAGCCACCCAGUCUAUGGUAACUUGCUAUAGCAGCCCACUAGGAGACCCCAAGAUAUUUAAAAACUCAUCAGCACCUGCUUUCUGCAUCUGGACCCUGAUCUUCUGGUGGGUUUACCAGUUACUUGUAGAGUGUCCCUGUGAUAGUUUUAGGUGUCAACUUGACAGGAUUGAGGGAUGCCUAGAUGGCUGGGGAAGCACUGUUUCUGAGAAGGACCAUGUUUUUGGAGGAGACUGUUUUAUGAGUGAAUUUCAGGGGACACAUUCAGAUCAUGGCAGUGGCAUUAUAAAGAGAGACACAAAAGCUUGCUCUCUCUCUCUGCCAUGUAAGACUACCACACAAAGACUGCCAUCUGCAAACCAGAAGCAGGUGGGCCUUCCAACUUGGAUCAGGCCAUGCCACCGGCUUCUCUGAUUCUCCAGCUUGCAGAUGGUAUAUUGUGACCCUGGCAUUUAAUAACUAUGACUUUGGUCUUAAGCAAUUUUCUUCCUCUGUGGAUUGAUAUUUACAUAUCAAUGUGGAUAAUAAUUUCUUACCACGGUAACUGUUGUGAGGUAAAAAUGAGUUAACAUAAGUAAAACCGAGCACAUGCAAACCAUCCGAAAUGGUUAAUACUUACUAUUUGUACUUGAAGAAAUAAAUGUUUUUGACAAUAAACUUCUUGUGCAGUUUUCCUCAG
rnacentral:lncRNA from 1 species